UACGUAGGGUGCAAGCGUUAAUCGGAAUUACUGGGCGUAAAGCGUGCGCCGGCGGUAUAUAAGACAGAUGUGAAAUCCCCGGGCUCAACCUGGGAACUGCAUUUGUGACUGUAUAGCUAGAGUACGGUAGAGGGGGAUGGAAUUCCGCGUGUAGCAGUGAAAUGCGUAGAUAUGCGGAGGAACACCGAUGGCGAAGGCAAUCCCCUGGACCUGUACUGACGCUCAUGCACGAAAGCGUGGGGAGCAAACAGG
rnacentral:rRNA from 1 species